rnacentral:rRNA from 1 species
UAUGGGUGUUAGCCGCACGCGUAAUGAAAGUGAACGUAGGUGAGAGCUUCGGCGCAUCAUCGACCGAUCCUGAUGUAUUCGGAUGGAUUUGAGUAAGAGCGUAAAGCCUCGGACCCGAAAGAUGGUGAACUAUGCCUGAAUAGGGUGAAGCCAGAGGAAACUCUGGUGGAGGCUCGCAGCGGUUCUGACGUGCAAAUCGAUCGUCAAAUUUGGGCAUGGGGGCGAAAGACUAAUCGAACCAUCUAGUAGCUGGUUACCGCCGAAGUUUCCCUCAGGAUAGCAGUGUUGUUCUUCAGUUUUAUGAGGUAAAGCGAAUGAUUAGGGACUCGGGGGCGCUAUAUAGCCUUCAUCCAUUCUCAAACUUUAAAUAUGUAAGAAGCCCUUGUUACUUAAUUGAACGUGGGCAUUCGAAUGUACCAACACUAGUGGGCCAUUUUUGGUAAGCAGAACUGGCGAUGCGGGAUGAACCGAACGCGGGGUUAAGGUGCCAGAGUGGACGCUCAUCAGACACCACAAAAGGCGUUAGUACAUCUUGACAGCAGGACGGUGGCCAUGGAAGUCGGAAUCCGCUAAGGACUGUGUAACAACUCACCUGCCGAAUGUACUAGCCCUGAAAAUGGAUGGCGCUCAAGCGUCCCACCCAUACCCCGCCGUCAGGGUAGAAACGAUGCCCUGACGAGUAGGCGGCCGUGGGGGUCAGUGACGAAGCCUAGGGCGUGAGCCC